rnacentral:rRNA from 1 species
AUUGGAUGAGCCCGCGGCCUAUCAGCUCGUUGGUGGGGUAACGGCCCACCAAGGCUUCGACGGGUAGCUGGUCUGAGAGGACGGCCAGCCACACUGGGACUGAGACACGGCCCAGACUCCUACGGGAGGCAGCAGUGGGGGAUCUUGCGCUAAUGCGCGAAAGCGUGACGCAGCGACGCCGCGUGGGGGACGAAGGCCCUCGGGUUGUAAACCCCUUUCGGCAGGGACGAAGCGGAAGUGACGGUACCUGCAGAAGAAGUCCCGGCUAACUACGUGCCAGCAGCCGCGGCCGAU